rnacentral:tRNA from 1 species
GCCCUCGUAGCAUAAUUGGAUAAUGCAACGGUUUUCUAAACCGUAGAUUGCAGGUUCAAAUCCUGCCGAGGGCACAA